rnacentral:rRNA from 1 species
GACGAACGCUGGCGGCGUGCUUAACACAUGCAAGUCGAACGGAAAGGCCCUGCUUUUGUGGGGUGCUCGUGUGGCGCACGGGUGAGUAACACGUGAGUAACCUGCCCCUGACUUUGGGAUAACUUCUGGAAACUGGGGCUAAUACCGCAUAGGAGAUCCUGCUGCGUGGUGGGGGUUGGAAAGUUUCGGCGUUUGGGGAUGGACUCGCGGCUUAUGAGCUUGUUGGGGGGGUAGUGGCUUACAAAGGUUUUGACGGGUAGCCCGCCUGAGAGGGUGACCGGCGACAUUGGGACUGAGAGAGGGCCCAGAAGCCUACGGGCGGCAGUAGUGGAGAGUAUUGCACAAUAGGCGGAAGCCUGAGACGGCAGCGCCGCGUGCGGGAUGACGGGCUUCGGGUUAUAAACCGCUUUCGACUGAGACAAAGAGGUAGUGACGGUAACGGGUAAGAAAGCACCGGCUAACUACGUG